GAAAAGUUCCAUCAAAUUUAAUUUUAUAGAAGUAUUUGGAGUCCGCCCGGUACUAACCAGAAGCUUGCGCCGCAGUAGUUUCAGCACCGCCCAAAUUCACCCGAAUUCAAAACCCUUCUGUUUACUGUAAAAGUCAGGGUUAGGGUUCUUUAACUUUCAGCACUGAGAUUAGGGUUUUUCUGCCUGCAUUCUCUGUAAUUUGGGGUUCACUCGCUGCACUAAAGGAGCGAGUGUAUGCAGAGGAGAGUGGCUUUAGUGUUGCAGGGUUUAGUUUUGAGUAUAGAGGUUUUCUCAAGUUCUGGCUAAAGGGUUCAGUAGUGACUUAUGGGAAAUUAGGGUUUUUGAGUUCAAGUUAUGGAGCAUUUGGGAGCAGGGAUGAGUUGACUGAUGUACAAUUUGUGAAAGAUUUGCUUCCGUUGUUGGGUUUGAAUUGUGUUUCUGCUCUGAUUGAAAUGCUGAUUUUUUCCAUUUUUCACUGCAAAUUAUGGUAGUCUCAAUCUAAACAUGUAGAAGGAUUGCCACUGUAUCAGCUCGAAUGCUAGGGUUUCCAUUUUUGUGGUUGAAACUCUGGCAUUUUUCAUGCUAUCAACUGGAAGUUAGGGUAUCUUGACUUCGUAGAUGGAAUGCAGCAUUUAAUGGUGGAUAUCAACGUAAUGUUGCUGAGCGAUGUCCAUAUCAUUUCCAAAAUUGGAAUCUUCAUUGCUCUGACCGAGUAGUUGGGCUUUAUGUUUUCACAAAUAUUUAGGGUUUCAGCACUCUAUUGAUGGAGCAGGUUGAGACUGACAUCAAUAGAGUACUACAGGAUCAUCAUAAGAUCAGUUCAAAUGUGAGAAGUGAAGAGGCAAAGAUAGAUAGGUUAAGCAGAGAAAUCAAGGAUUUGGAAGAGAGAGUGAGAAUUGGCGAAUCAAGCGAGCUUGAUAGGCAAAGGAUGCAUAAUUUACUGAAUUAUCAGUCCACUCUUAUUAUGCGAGCAUCAUCACGAACACAGCUCCUUCGUGCACUCCAUGAAGACCUUCUUGUGCUCUUUACCAGGAGGAAGCAACUUCGACAAACUGAUACUACAGGUGGGUCUUCUGUUGAUGCAAUGCCUAAUGUUUCUCUCAGCUCUGGGUUAUCAAGUGGAGAUGAUGAUAAUCAAGAGUUCCCUAGCGACUGUUCAUUGCCUGUGUCAUUGGAUAUUUUGAGAAUGAAUGAUGAUCACAAUGAAAACUUGGAUGAAGUGACCACUGAGCAGGAGCAACUACCGCUAAGUUUGAAAAUGCUUCAAAUUAAUAUGAAUGAGGAUGCAUGCUUGACUCAAGAUGAUGGCGGUGCGUAUGGGGAUCUCCAAUAUAAGAAUAAUAUCCUUGAUAACAUUGCAAUGAGCAUUUUAGAUCCAAAUACCAAUGUUGAUAACAUUUUUAAAGAAGCAAUGGAAAAUUCCGAGUUCCCCUGUGAGGAUAGUGAAGGUUCAAAAAAGGUAUCUAGGAGAACGGGGAAAGUAACUUACCGUAAUUUACCAAGGCGUUUGACUGUGGACUUUGACGAAAGCGGCAAUCCUACCGGCCCAAAUGCUGGGGGCUUUAAAAGAUCAAUUAAUUCAUAUGUCUGCCAUUUUUUGCCUGUCAACUUUAAGCAAAUUGGUGAUGUUCCUGUUGAAGAUUACAAGGCAGUUCUGAAUGUGUUGACGGAAAGAUAUAAUUUUGACCUUAAUCGGAGCUAUACGCGCAAAAAAAUCUCAUCUUGUUAUCGACAACACAAGUACAAGCUAUUGGUCCAGGUCAAGAAAGACUUUGAUAGAGGUGUUGAGCCACAAAAACCAUCCUAUGUUAAACAAGAGGACUGGGAUGCAUUUGUGGCUAAGACCAAAGAUGAAGAAUUUGAUAGGAUCAGUAAGAAGAAUAAAGCCAGCAGGAGUCAACAGAGUUCUCUUAACCGCAAGGGUCUCUUGGGUGCCUCUGUCCAUAAAAGGAAGCUGAAAGGAUCAGACCAAAGUGAUAUGGUGGAUAUUAUGUGGUCAAAGGUCGUCCGAGGAAGUUAUUAGCAGCUGUGGAAGAAGACCAUGAUGUCGUGGACAAUAACCGUCUAACUACUAACCAAGAGGUUGUUGAAUAACAGGUUUAAAGCAUCCAUCAUUUUUUAGCUAAUAUCUUGGUAGUGAUUGUAGAAGUACAGUCAUAAUAGGACUCGUAACGUGCAUUUCAUGUGUUAAAAUGUCUAUGAGACAUAAGUUUGUAACAUCUCACUAUUUGUAACAUCAUUUGUAGUCAAUCCAUAAGCUACUCGGUUUGCAAUUGUGUGGGAAUAUGUAUCAACUGUGCACUUCAUAUCAUACAACCUAAGUUCCCAAAAUGUACGAAAAUCUGCCCUAGUAGCCAGCUAGCUAAUUUGUUUGCCGUUAUGAUUGUCAAAGGUCUUGAAGCAUCUCUAUGUUGGUGGGAUAAUAUAGGGUCCAUCUGCAACACAGUCUCUUUUAACUGUUGCAAUUUAGUGGAAUAAGCUUGGUGUAUAUGAGGUUCAUAUGCCAUUUUGUAUUUAAUAGAUUGAACUCUUUUUAAUCAUGCUAGAGGCUAGAUCUAAUGGUCAAUAGUAGUUGGUUUCUUUAAUGUUCUUGGUUAUUAUUACUGAAUUUGGGUGGUGAAACCCAACAUGGAAAGAAAAAUCAUGGUUUCAUGAUUAGCUGGGGUUUUUCAUGAGAUACAGUAUCCUUUCGUGGCAAAUUUCAUCAGAGAUUGAAAAAUUAUUGUGGGUUUCAGUUUUUCUUUUGCCAUUUGUUUCAAGUUAAUAUAGGGUGUAAUUUUGUUUCUUAUGUGCGUAUAAAGAUUGCCAGUUCUCUCAUAUGACCGAUGCACUCAAGUGGCUGUGUUGAUUUUCUUAUCCAUAUGCUUCUCUUUAGUAAGGAUUGUUGUAGGCGAUUUGCAAAGUCCUUAAGGCCUGUAGUUUGUGAUUUGACAAGAGCUGUGGGCUUGUGAACCAGGAUUUCGGGUCUCUCCGACCCAUGAAGACUUAUUCAACUAAUGAUGCAACCCUUCAGUUUGAAUAUUGGAAUUCAACGUGACGUCAUUCUAUGAGUUCGGGCCAUUUUAUCCCUGCAUUUGCACUCUCCCUUAAUUUUAUUUCUGUACCUUCUGUGGAUAUGUUUCCAUGUCCAUUGAUUUGAAGCUGCUAUUUCAUUGUACAGACAUCUCAUUGAUCCACCCGCCCCCCCCCCCCCCCAAAACAAUUGUUGGGAAUGUAGUGUGUCUUAGUUUUGAUAAAUGUAGCCGUCCCCAAGAAGCCAGCAUUUCAAUGGUUGACAAGAUGUCUUCAAGAUGGCAAACAAGUUGUACAUAGACAAUUGAAGGCUGUUGUUGAUUGAAGAAUCAAAGGUGCGCCAAUUUGGAAGGAAAACAACAGAGAGAGAGAUAAGAAAACUGGCCUGAAUGUUGAGAGGGGUGAACCUUGGCAAGAGCCAUCCUCACCAAGCUGGGGGUCUUUUAUCAGCCAAUGAGAGGAAUUAGAGUAAGCUCAAUGUGAUUGUUACAUAAAUGUGAAUAGUUGAAAAUUGAUUGAGCCAUGCCUUUUUUAUGGCCCGUUGUUUCUUGAUUGGCUUUUCCUUUAUUGAGUCUUGAUUCCGUUGACUGUUGAGUGUGAAGCUGUGAAUUCAUGGCUUGGAGGCAGCCUUUCGGUCUGUAUUUUCUUUCCUGAUUUGCCUGGUUGGUAUUUUCUUCUUUGGACUCUUCAGUCAUGUUCUUUCUUUAGUGUUUUAUCAAUGAGUCUUUUUGUUUGGUGCCA